AGAUUAAGCGCCCGCCUCCUCCCUGGUCCCGCCCCCGCCCUGCCGGCACGGGGGGCGUGGCCUGGGCAAAGGCGCGCCUGCGCCGUGCGCGGGACACGCGGUACAGGAGCGGCCGUGCAGGAGCGCGGAGCUCCGCCCCAGGGGGCGUGGCCUAGGCGGGGUGCGCGGGACCCGCUGUGCGGGCGCGGAGGAGCGCGGCGCUGCGGCCGGGGGCAGCGGCGGGGGAGGCGCAGCUCCGCUCCGGGCUCGGGCAGGGGCUCGAGAUGCGCCCGGGGAGGCAGCGCGGAGCCGCCCGCCCGCCCACACGGCGCUGCACGUGCCCCGAGCCGGCAUGCGGGAGCCCCGGGGCCGCCUGCUCCUUCCCUCCCCACCCCGGCCCCAGAACAGCCGGGACCCGCCUUCUCAGCGCCUCCUGGAUGCUUAGUGCUACCUUUUACACGUGGCUAUUCACUAAUUACCGUACGUUUACAUAGUGCUAAUUAACGUUCAUGUUGCUUACUAUUCUAAUUAUUUCUCAUUCUAGUGGUGCACGAUCAUCAUGACGUUAAUAAGAUGAUUUUUAAAAUUAUUAUCAUGACAUGAAUGAAAUGAUUUUUAAAAUCCGUUGGGCGUGCACAACGCGCUCUGCACAUCCAGCUUCCUUUAAACCAGUUGCGUGGGCGCUAGAAACCCUGGGCUGGGCAUCAGCUAAUCGCUAUUAUUGCGGUACUGCUAUGUCAUAAUUAUUCUUGAUAUAGUAUUGUAAUUACUGUGACUGGCUAUGUAGUACUCCUGUUUUUGAGAGCCGGUGUGUUUACUGCACUCGAUGGAGGUGAAUGACUUUUCUUUUCUCCUCCCCUUUUCUUCAGUUAACUCUGAGUCCGGGUCACCCGCUGCAAUUCGCCCUCCGUGCGUUUCUUGGUUGUGUUGGGGUGAGUUUCUGGGGAGGUAAAAAUCCUUUUUAAAAAUAAAUAAAUAAAUCUCAGGCUGCUUUUUUGGGUGCUGGGGAGACGCCCAAAGCUGUCUGCGGGGCCCCGGCUCCUCCAUCCCGCCCACCAGGCUGAAGGUGGUUGCUUAUUCCCAGUUCCUUUUUCAAAGCAAAUCUAGACCAAAUCAAAGCUUGUUGUUAAUGAAUUACACAAUUUUGAAUAGAGAAAUUUAUUUUUAAAUUUUUAUCAUUGCAUAUUUGCUAAUUAAUAUGCAAAAUAAUAUUCUUCAUCAAGGACAGAGCCCUAAAUAAAGGUCAGAUUAGGAUGGGAUUGUGGGGCAAAAUACAUCUCGGGCCACCCCAAACUGCCUGUUGGCGCCACAGGGGACUGUCAGAGCACCUUGACCACAGCGUUGCCCGGCCCAAAGUGCGGUUUGGCCGUGCUUGCUGCCAGCUGACACCCCCUGCCCCUGUACUAAAUAUAUGGGCACGAAUGGGUGCCAGGAUCAUGUCACCCCAGCCAAAUACCUGCCCAGCCUCCUCUUGAAGACGCCCAAGGUAGGAGAGCACCACCUCCCUUGGGAGCCCAUUGCAGAGCCUGGCAGCCCUAAGAGUAAAGUAAUGUUUCCUGCUGUCCAACAGUUUGAAGGUGUUAUUCCUAGUAACCUUGGGGGGUACAGAGCCUCCCCCAAUUCUCUGGUCCCCCCUGGGGAGUUUGUAAACUGCCAGCAGAUCCCCCCUCAGCCUUCUCUUGUAGAGGCUGAAUAGGUUGAGACCUUCUAACUUGUCUCUGUAGGGCCUGCCUUGCUUCCCUAUGAAAAGUGGAGAUGCUGGGGAUUGAACCCAGGACCUCAUACAUGCAAAGCAUGCGCUCUACCACUGAGCUACAUCCCCCUUCAGCAGUCUAAGCCAUCCCCUGGCUGUCCUGCCCGACUGAAGACACGGUUUGGCUGUGCCAGGCCAUGAACUGGCAGCCCCCACAAAUACUGUCCUAAGUAUAUGGGCUUGAAUAAGGAACUGGGUUUUGGGCUGGGUUGACGACAGGAAAUCCUCUUCGGGCCACCCCACACCAUGCCUCUGGCACUGGAUACUAUCCCACACCCCCCAACCAGAGUCUCACCUGGCCCAAAGUGCAGUUUUUGCGUGCCAAGCUGCCAACUGCCAGCCCCCCAUGCCCACUGUACUCAGUACAUGGACCCGAAUAAGGACCUGGUUUUGGGCUGGGGUUAUGGCUGGAAAUACUGUUUGGGCCAGUUCCCCCAUCCCCACUGUACUAAGUAUACAGGCUCAAGGAAGGAAUUCCUUGUGGGCUGGGGUUAGGGAUGGAAAUCCUUGGGCCACCCCACACCAUGCCUCUAUGGCACCGGGGGACUCUCCCGGACACCACUGACCAGUCUGGCCCAGACCAGAGCGUGGUUUCUUCAUGCCAGGCUGCCAACUAACAGACCCCCAUUCCCAUGGUACUAAGUAUACACACUUGACUAAGGACCCCGCAUUUGAGAUUACAGACUGCUGGGAUUACAGACUGAAUUGAUGACCAGUGUCUUGCCUGGCCCAGAUGGUAUGCGGUGGCCCAAAAUGGAUUUCCAGCCAUAAUCCCAGCUGUUACCAGAUUUGCCUGUCACUUUGAUGAGGUGUGUGUGUGGGUGGAGGGGGUGGAAAUAGAAAAAGUCCUUUGUAAAUCCAGCAAGCUGGGUGCCAGGGCUCCCUCGGGACCACAGAGCUGGCAGGCAACACAGCCCCAAAGCCAAUUCCUUAUUCAAGCCCAGAUACUUAGUACAGUGCCUGGGGGGCUGUCAGAUGGAUGCCUGGCAUGAACAAACUUACUUCAGGAUGUGUAAUUCAUUAAUAAGAAGCUUUUAUUGGGUCUAGAUUAGCUUUGAAAAGGGAACCGAGACUAAGGAAUAAGGAACUGGGAAUAAGCAGCCAACUUCAGCCUCAUUCCCGUGUUGGCAUGGCUGGCAUGAUGGGUCUUCAUUUAUUUUUAACUUUGGUUGUAAACAAGUCGUAGCAGCACCAAAUCCAUCUUUAAAUUUUAAAAAAAGCAUAAUCUGGGUAGCUGACUUUGAUUUCCUCCAGCCGGUGGUCAGAAAGAAUAAAAACCCUCAUUUGUCAAAAUUUGCCUCUUUAUUAGCUGGAGUUCGGGGCUGUUUAUUCUGGAUUUGAUCUUUUAUUAUUAUGAUUAUUAUUGUGAUGAUUACUGGUAUUAUUAGUAUUAUUCUUUUCUUUCUCCUCCCCACCCCCACCGGUCCUGAGUUAUUUCAGCUCUGCCCAGAGAGCACAUGAUGGGGCAAUGGCCCCCUCCCCUCCUUCCCUCGCAACCACAUAACCGGCCUUCCUAAUGGCUAGAGGCAAGAAGGGGAUUGCUGCUGGGUCCUGCUCAGUCAUCAGAGACAAGAUUGCUCGUGGCUGGUCUGUCCGUCCCCUGUACCUCCCGCGGCCCGAGAGCAGAGGAGGGCUCUUCUCCCUGCCCUCCAUGCAGCUACAGCCAGGUAGCUCUUUCCCUCUGUGAACUGGGUGCUGGGAGUGGUGCUCCAGUGGUGCAGAAAAUGCCAUCCCCUGCCUCUAGCAUGACUUGAAACCAAAAGUCCCAUGGAAGCCAGUGACGGCGAACCUUUAUGGGGUUUUAUUUUCUUUUUUCCAAUCCUCUUCCUUUUACAACGAGGUGUCUAUGAAACGGCAUCUUGACAUUUUCUCUUAACUUUUUAAUCCUGAGCCAUUUUGGUUGUGGCCAGCCUCAAGGCACUCAUGCUUACAAAAUCAAAUGGAGAUGCGCAGAACUGAGACAGGUUUUCCUGUAGAUUGUCUGAAGAGGCUUCAUCUUCUGUUAAGUGCACUGACGGCAUCUGUCUUGGGGCGGUGGAUUGUUCUUGGUGCUGUGUAUUGAGCUGGUCCCUGAGGGAAUCAUGAUUAAUUGGUAACUGGUAACAGCCAGGCCUGCAGUGAUCCCAGGUCCCAUGCCUCAAAACAGCCACAGUUGCACGAGCACCCAUGUCACGAGUUUUGCCUGUCAGCAGCCAGAGGUGCAGGCCCCUGAGCCCAGAAGCCCUGCAUCGAUCUCCUUGCCAGCUGGCAGGCCUCGUGGCCGCAGCAGGGGCCACCAUCGCUGCAGCUGUCACCCCUGCUGCGCCUCAACACACACACUGUCACCCAUGGCACGAGUUUUGCCUGUCAGCAGCUUGAGGUGCAGUUCCCCCAAAACCCUGCACCGAUCUUGAAACUUGGCAUGCUUCAUGCUCUCACACAGGCUGACUAGUGACUAUAAUGGACUACAGAUCCCAGAUCUACUCUAAGCAGGAUUACCUCUAUAGUCACAUCCACAGCUGCCCCAUUCAGGCCAUGGAAAGCUGUCUGUGCACCAGGCAUGGCAGGAUCGGCGCUGGGACAGUUGGCUGUGCCGACCUCAGAGAAUGGGAGAGCUUUGCAUCUCCCUGGGUGAUUAUAGGAUCAUAUUUCUGAACACAGAUGUACUUUUGGGGCAUCCAGAAGCAAAGACACACGUUUUAAUGAGAUGGAAAGUGGGUCAAACCUGUUUCAAAGGGAGUGUAGAGAGAGUGUCUGAUCUUAUGGGGAAGGGAUGUUGACUGUCACCAGGAAGACUUCUUACAUGAGCUCUGUACAAAGGGAAACAGCAACGGAGAAGAGGUGGUGGGAGGUAGCCAGCAAAAUCAGUGACAUUUAGGAGGCAGCACUGCAGUACUUGGACAUACCAAGUAGUUAUUUCAUCUCGGUGAGCAAUUUUAAUUCAUUUUCAGCAAAAUCUUAAAAACUUGAAGACCUGGACUUCUUCACCUGUGACAUCACAAACCUGAAGGAUUGCAGGGAAAGGAUUUUUGAGCUGCUUCAGGAGAUCACCUACCUAGAUUGAUUUGAUCAGGAAGAAGGGGAUGAGGAGGAUGAAGCAGAUGAAGAUGAAGCUGGUCCACCAGGAGAAUACAAAGAAGAUGAAGAUGAAGACGAUGGAGGUUAAGAUUUGGGGAGAGUGAAGAGGAGGAAGAAGCUGUCCUUUCAUACCUGAUGACAGACAAGAUCCAGCGGUGAUCAACGUGAGCCAUGAUGCACGACUGAUCACGCAGACCAGCUGCCAGCUCUGGGUGGUGGAGGAGCAGUCCAUCAGCCACAUCAACGGCGACUUCGACUGCAAGCGGGAGGUGCUGGAGGCCUCGGGCCAGGUCAGCAUUAACUGGCCCCGGGAGUGACCUUGCUGUGGGGAGGCUCCUCGAGGACCUGCCCAUCCCCUCUCAGAGACCUGCCUGCACAGCUUCAUGUGCACCCACACCCAAAGGACUCUGUGUAGAGGGGGAGGGCCACAGGCAUGGUUGCAGGAUGAACUUUGAAGAUGUGUUUUGGGGGCUAAUGCAAGACAUGUUAUAUUUUUAGAGCUGUUCUUCUACACCUGCUGCUUUCCCAGGAGAGAGAGACUUAAUUUAUAUGAAUGGGAGGGAGGGGGUUGUACUGGAAUGGUCUGUUUUAGGCAGGAGUGAGGGCUGUCCUUGUCCCAUUGCUGGGUUCCCUGCCCCCAGUCUGGAGAAUGGCUUGAGCCUUGUUUUGCUUCCACCCAAGAGGAUUAUAUUAAAAUAUA